GACGAACGCUGGCGGCGUGCUUAACACAUGCAAGUCGAACGGGUCUGCCCUGUUUUUUGCGGGGUGGGUCAGUGGCGAACGGGUGAGUAACACGUGAGUAACCUGCCCCUCACUUCUGGAUAACCGCUUGAAAGGGUGGCUAAUACGGGGUGUUCUGGCUGUGCCGCAUGGUGUGGCUGGGAAAGAUUCACUUUUGUGGUGUUUUGGUGGGGGAUGGGCUCGCGGCCUAUCAGCUUGUUGAUGGGGUGAUGGCCUGCCAAGGCUUUGACGGGUAGCCGGCCUGAGAGGGUGGGCGGUCACACUGGGACUGAGAUACGGCCCAGACUCCUGCGGGAGGCAGCAGUGGGGGGUAUUGCACAAUGGGCGGAAGCCUGAUGCAGCGACGUCGCGUGAGGGAUGGAGGCCUUCGGGUUGUGAACCUCUUUCGCCGGUGAAGAAGGUCCUGCUCUUUGUGGUGGGGUUGACGGUAGCCGGGUUAUGAAGCGCCGGCUAACUACGUG
rnacentral:rRNA from 1 species